AGUAACACGUGGAUAACCUACCUAUAAGACUGGGAUAACUUCGGGAAACCGGAGCUAAUACCGGAUAAUAUUUUGAACCGCAUGGUUCAAAAGUGAAAGACGGUCUUGCUGUCACUUAUAGAUGGAUCCGCGCUGCAUUAGCUAGUUGGUAAGGUAACGGCUUACCAAGGCAACGAUGCAUAGCCGACAUGAGAGGGUGAUCGGCCACACUGGAACUGAGACACGGUCCAGACUCCUACGGGAGGCAGCAGCC
rnacentral:rRNA from 1 species